CAGCAGCCGCGGGAAUACGUAGGUGGCAAGCGUUGUCCGGAAUUAUUGGGCGUAAAGCGCGCGCAGGUGGUUUAAUAAGUCUGAUGUGAAAGCCCACGGCUCAACCGUGGAGGGUCAUUGGAAACUGUUAAACUUGAGUGCAGGUGAGAAAAGUGGAAUUCCUAGUGUAGCGGUGAAAUGCGUAGAGAUUAGGAGGAACACCAGUGGCGAAGGCGGCUUUUUGGCCUGUAACUGACACUGAGGCGCGAAAGCGUGGGGAGCAAACAGGAUUAGAUACCCCAGUAGUCCCUGUCUCUUAUAC
rnacentral:rRNA from 1 species